AUUUCUUUAGUAUAUCAGUAUAAAUGCCUUCCAAGCAUUAGGUCCCACGGGAAGAAAUA
rnacentral:tRNA from 1 species